AUUGAACGCUGGCGGCAGGCUUAACACAUGCAAGUCGAGCGGGGGAAGGUAGCUUGCUACCGGACCUAGCGGCGGACGGGUGAGUAAUGCUUAGGAAUCUGCCUAUUAGUGGGGGACAACAUCUCGAAAGGGAUGCUAAUACCGCAUACGUCCUACGGGAGUAAGCAGGGGAUCUUCGGACCUUGCGCUAAUAGAUGAGCCUAAGUCGGAUUAGCUAGUUGGUGGGGUAAAGGCCUACCAAGGCGACGAUCUGUAGCGGGUCUGAGAGGAUGAUCCGCCACACUGGGACUGAGACACGGCCCAGACUCCUACGGGAGGCAGCAGUGGGGAAUAUUGGACAAUGGGCGGAAGCCUGAUCCAGCCAUGCCGCGUGUGUGAAGAAGGCCUUAUGGUUGUAAAGCACUUUAAGCGAGGAGGAGGCUACUUAGAUUAAUACUCUAGGAUAGUGGACGUUACUCGCAGAAUAAGCACCGGCUAACUCUGUGCCAGCCGCCGCCGUAA
rnacentral:rRNA from 1 species